CGAUAAACAAACAAUAGGGGAUCAUAAAGAACGUUCUAUAGUAGAUAUAUAAUGUUCAGACAACAGUGGAUCCUGUAGAACGCCCUUUAGUAUAUACAUAAUAAACAAACAAUAUAUGGGAUCCUAUAAAACGUUCUAUAGUAGAUAUAUAAUGUUCAGACAAAAGAGGAUACUGUAGAACGCCCUUUAAAAUAAACACUAACAACACCAACAGGGGACCCUAUAGAACGUCCUAUUUUAGAUAUAUAACGUUGAGAAAACAGGAGAUCCUGCAGACCGCCCA
rnacentral:lncRNA from 1 species